rnacentral:misc_RNA from 1 species
UCCCGGUUGGCCCGGGCGGUCUCGCGUGAAAAAUACAACACACGACAAGGGUUGCGCUCGUUGCGGGACUUAACCCAACAUCUCACGACACGAGCUGACGACGGCCAUGCAGCACCUGUCACCUGAUUCCCGAAGGCACUCCCACAUUUCUGCGGGAUUCCAGGGAUGUCAAGCCUCGGUAAGGUUCUUCGCGUACCAUCGAAUUAAACCACAUGAUCCUCUGCUUGUGCGGGACCCCGUCAAUUCCUUUGAGUUUUAAGCUUGCGCUCGUACUCCCCAGGCGGGAUGCUUAACGCGUUAGCUUCUCAGCCCAGAGGGUCGAUACUCCAAACUGAUAGCAUCCAUCGUUUACGGCGUGGACUAC